rnacentral:ncRNA from 1 species
GCAGAGUAGACGGUUCGGCGUUAAGUGCCGUGUGAACGGGGAGUUGUCACGCGGACGAAGCGGAAAUUUUCGUGCGGUCGUGCCGUCGCAUCCCGCUG